UGUUUCAAUUUGUCACUUUUUUGCUUAAAGAUCAGUACACUGUGUAGCCUGCCAGAAGUUUGAGAGGGCGAAGACUGUGGCGCCGGAGUUGAAGCCCAUCAAAGUUGUUUCACCAUGGCACAUGAUCGGAAUGGCAACAGCUGGUGUCUGACGGUGACCGAUCACUUUACCAAGUGGGUGGAGGCAAUACCCAUUAAGAUCAGUAAAGGAAGAGACGAGACUGGCAAGGCCACCUCCAAGGCGAUGGUGGACAUCUGCAACACACAUGGUUCUCCUGAGGUCAUCUUGAGUGACCGAGGUCAUGAGCGCUGGAACAAGGUUUGGUGAAUGGACCAUCCAGACCCUCAAGGCUGCCAUGGACAAGUCCCUUGAUUGGUACCUGGAAGAGUGGGAGAAAAACCUGAAAGUAAUUCUCUUUGCACACAACAGCAGCAUCCAGGCCUCCACAAACAAAGAUAACUGAAACCCCACUUGAUGUGAUGGAAGUUGUCGAACCAGAUCUGAAUGCCUUCGAGGUCCAGUUCAGGCAUGGACUGAGAAGGAUGUGGUUUUUGACCAGGUGAGACUGAACAUGGACAAGGCGCAGGAAAAACAGAAGGAGAGCUACCGAAGCAGAAUCAAGAAGGGGACCAAGUGCUACGACAUCCGGGCAAUUUACUUGGCUUGGAAGAAGGACGAAAGGAAGGCGAGACCUGGGAAACCUCGCUGUUUUUUCGCUCCUAGCUGGGGUCACCAUCUGUUAAAGGUUACCUCAGCGGAAGUCAACAAUCUUCUACAGUUGGAGCAGUUUGACGGUCGACCACUGAAAGCAGUGACGCCCUACACUUCAGUGAAGCCCAAUAGACAAAGACCAUCGACUGUCCGAGCCCCCCCAGGAGGUAUCCCAUCCACCAGAACCAGUGAGUCCGGAUCAGUCUGAUUCUCUGUGCGCUGAGUCGGAGGGGGACCAGCUUGAGGAGCUGGAGGUUCUGCCCAACACCCAGACAUGGAUCCACCUGAUGUCCUCCAUUACCAACCACCCUCCAACUUUUCAUUAAAUAUUCUACAGCUACUGAUGUUGUCAUUAUCUGCUAAGAAAGUGAGAUAAUAUAUGAGAUAAAUCAAAUCGUAUUGGUCACAUACACGUGUUUAGCAGAUGUUAUUGAGGGUGUAGUGAAAUGCC